rnacentral:rRNA from 1 species
UACGGAGGGUGCGAGCGUUGUCCGGAAUCACUGGGCGUAAAGGGCGCGUAGGUGGCGUCGCAAGUCAACGGUGAAAGCUCGACGCUUAACGUCGAGUCGGCCGUCGAGACUGCGAGGCUCGAGCACUGUAGAGGCUCAUGGAAUUCCGGGUGUAGCGGUGGAAUGCGUAGAGAUCCGGAAGAACACCGGUGGCGAAGGCG